AUACGAGGUACCAGCUGAAGUAAAAAAGAAGCAGUCUUUCUUCCACAGCUCUUUCUGCAAGUCUUCUAAUUCCUCCAAUCAUCCAAACCACAACCAGGGCACCUUUUUCCUCUUUUCUCUCUCUCUCUCUCUCUCCCUCUCUCUCCCUCUCUCUCUCUCUCUCUCUCGUGUAGAGACGUGUCAGUGGACGUCGCUGUAAUUUGGAUAAAUACAGUACGUGGACCAUGUUUAUCACUUGUGAGAGAUGAAGAUGGCCCUGAUUACAGCUCAACCACAUGAAUGCAGCGUUUCAUGUCUUUGGUCUCUUCAGCACUCGAAUGGUGCUUUUCACAUGAUGAUAACGUGGGAAAUGGAUGGGAUUUUUCCACAUGGAUAGGUACUGCCAAGCUGCCACUGUUGUGCCCUUGAGCAAGGCCCUUGACCCUAUCUGCACCGUAUCAUGGCACAGUAUCAUGGCUAAAACUGCACUCUGACCCUAGAUUCCUGUGCU
ensembl:lncRNA